GACGAACGCUGGCGGCGUGCCUAAUACAUGCAAGUUGAGCGCUGAAGGUUGGUACUUGUACCGACUGGAUGAGCAGCGAACGGGUGAGUAACGCGUGGGGAAUCUGCCUUUGAGCGGGGGACAACAUUUGGAAACGAAUGCUAAUACCGCAUAAAAACUUUAAACACAAGUUUUAAGUUUGAAAGAUGCAAUUGCAUCACUCAAAGAUGAUCCCGCGUUGUAUUAGCUAGUUGGUGAGGUAAAGGCUCACCAAGGCGAUGAUACAUAGCCGACCUGAGAGGGUGAUCGGCCACAUUGGGACUGAGACACGGCCCAAACUCCUACGGGAGGCAGCAGUAGGGAAUCUUCGGCAAUGGACGAAAGUCUGACCGAGCAACGCCGCGUGAGUGAAGAAGGUUUUCGGAUCGUAAAACUCUGUUGGUAGAGAAGAACGUUGGUGAGAGUGGAAAGCUCAU
rnacentral:rRNA from 1 species